ACAGAGGUUCUGGGUUACGGAUCAGUGGAAAACCAAGCCUCCUUCAUCUGAGCCUUUCACCAGCAAUUUGAACAGUCUCAAUCUCUACCUAUGCGUUGUUUUCAACCAGCCUGCUUCUAAGAGACAGACAAUCGUCUCCACUGUCACGAUGUAACAACCCAUUUUCCUACCAAGGAAGCCAACACUCCUCUAGCCCACAUGAGGAAUGCGAUGAGAAGGAUCAGCAGAACGGCCCCACAGAUCAAGAGUGCAGUGAGGACUGGGUGGCCUGAGCAAAGGGAAAUAUUAUGAAAGACGGCUCAGGGACCAUCCUUGGGAGAAGAGUCGGAAAGAUUGUAAGGACCAGAGUUUGGGAAAGACUGAGGCAAAGCAAUGUUUUAUGGACAUGAGAGGACCAUUGCAUUCACAGCAGCUGUGGCUGUCUGCAGAAGAUCAAGCCGAUCAACAUUCCAGCAUGGAGAAGGGAGGGAAUGAUGAGCCCUCUCUCACUGAGGAACUAUUGAUGGUUGCUCUUGGAGGCUGGUGAGUCAGUUUUCUUUAGGGAUGUGAUUCCUGGUAGGUUGAUGAUGCUUCAGUAGAUGGUCCUAUACCCACGAGUAUAUGGGCAGCAGAUUGGACUCAAGCGUUAUAGAAAGAAAGAAAGAAAGAAAGAAAGAAAGAAGAAAGAAAGAAAGAAAGAAGGAAGAAGGAAGGAAGGAAGAAAGGAAGAAAGAAAAAGAAAGAAAGAAAAAGGGCAGGAAGUCAGAAGGAGAGCUAGAGUGUUGAAUCUGAGAGGAUUUGGAGGAGGAGUAGAGGGGUUAAUACGAUAAAAAAUGUAUUGUACGCAUGUAUGAAACUCUCAAAGAAUUAAUAAAACAUAUCAAAACUAUGUGAAUUAAAAAUUAUAUGCUCAUAACUUUUUAAAUAAAAGCGUAUGUCCUUUCAUCAAACUGGAUAUAUCCCAUCAAAUGCUUGGCAAAUGGGACCACAUGAAGCAGAAAGCUUCUGCACAGCAAAGGACACCAUUAUUAUGGUGAAAAUGCAGCAUACAACAUAGGAAGCAAUCUUUUCUAGCUAUAAAUUCUGACAGGGGACUGGUAUCUAGAAUACAGAAAGAACUCAGGAAACUAAAUGUCAAGAAAACAAGCUACUUGAAAAACAGGGCAAGGAACCAAACAGAAGGUUCCAAAAGAUGAAAUGCAAAUAGCUGAGAAGUAUUUAACACUCUGAGCUAUCAGGAAAAUGUAAAUAAAGACUACAUUAAUAUUUCAUCUUACCCUAGUCAGAAGAGCUAAAAUAAAAAACAAAACAAAUGACAAAAAUGCUGGUGUGGAUUUGGGGAAAGGGGACAUUUACUCACUGCUGGUGGGGGAGCACACUGAGCAGUCACUGAGAAAGUCAGUGUGGCAGUUCCUCAAAAAGCUGGAAAUAGAUCUACCAGAUGAUAUAACUAUUCUGCUUUUGGUCAUAUACCCUCAGGACCCCCAUAUCUUAUUACAGAGAUACUUAGUGCUACUCUAGUCACAAUAACCAGGAAAUGGAAACAACCUAUAUGCCCACCAACUGAUGAAUGGAAACUGAAAAUGUGGUACAUUUACACAAGGGAACAUUCUUCAGCUGUUAUGAAAAAAUGAAACUUGCAGGUAAAUUGAUGAAGCUGGAAACAAUCAUCCUGUGUGAGGUAAGCCAGACCCAGACAGACAAAUGCCACAUGUUUGGUCUCAUAUGUGGAUGCUAGCUUUGAAUCUUUACACAUGUGUGUUUCAUUUGAAACACUCAUGGAGGUCAGGAAACUAGAAUGGGACUAUGGGGGAGGGGAAGAUAUUUUAUGGGAGGGGAGGUAGAAUGCAGUGAUACAGAAGGAGAAAAGGGAUAUGGAAAAAGAAUGGUUAAAUGUGGUGGCAGAUGGGAGGGCAGGGUAGAGGAAGAGUGGGGAAGCAUAACUGAUACUAACAUCCUUUUGGAAAAGUGGAAGCUUUCUAAAACAUACAUAUAUAAUGAGUGUAAGCGGAGUCACAGUAUAAUGAGGAGAUAAUGCCCCUUCUAGAGACCACAAGCUAACAAGUAAAACCCCAGUACUAGGAAUGAGUUAUCUCUUUUUGAUUGGUUGGCCAGUGGGGUCCUAUAGAUCUCCUACAUUAUAGGUUAUUGACAUUACUCUUGGUUCCUCUCCAGAAUUUCAUGGUGGGACCCUAUUGCUGAAGAUGUUACAUACUUAAGUCACAGACAUGGAGAAAUCAAGCUUGUAUUGACCUAAAAGCUCCAUACCCACUAGCUAGCUUUCAUCGUGCUGGCAGGUACUAAAAAAGGUUAUGUCUGGAGUACAGGAGACCCGUUUGGGCAUCUCUUGGUGCUGCCAUGUCCUGUGAUUAAAGUCAAUGGGAAACUAAAGCAGCCUGACCCAGGCAGGAUGACACAGGGCACAGACUUUCAGGAAUGAAGAUGUGGGUCACUCCUCUAGGAAAAGACCCAAGACUUUCUGAGGUACUUGGAGAGGGUGGAAAAAAUACAGAAUGGGUAGUAUAGAAAGGUAGUUACAAUUACCAGCUAAGGCCAUGUGACCAGUUACAGAAAUGAGGAUUAUAACUGAUAGAAUAAUAAGAUAGAUAUUGUAACUUUCUAUUGUAUUUUGUUAAAAAUGUGUUUGUACAGAUAUUUGUGUUUUCUUUCCUUGAUUUAUUUAUUAUGUAACAUCAGUUAAAAAAUUGUCAGUGGUUAUCAUAUUCAAGUUUGAGAUAUUAAAAUAAUGUCCCUCAAGGGACAUUGCCACAUAUUCAAAAUUUAUAAUGCAUUUGUGAUUGUAUUGGGAUAGUUAUAGCAUGUUAGGCAUAAUUAUGAACUGGUUAUUGUUUUCAUCUGGAAAUUAAGCUUGACAUAAGGAGAUAUAAUUGUUUGUCAAGUUCACAAGGGGUGGACUUGUGAUGACUAUCCUUGGUUGUCAAGUUGACUCCAUCUGGAGUUAACUAAAACCAAAAUGACUGGGCACACAUGUGAGGAAUUUUUUUUUCUUAAUUUAGUCAUUUGAAUUGGGAAAACUCACUUCUAAUAUGGAUCUCGGAGGUGGAAACAAACUUUUACUAUAGAUAUUUUGGGGUAGGGAGAUCCACCUUUAUUUUGGAACACACCUUAUUUUUGCAGGCUGUAUAAAAGACAUGGAAGAAGGAAGCUUGCUCUCUCUUUGCCAGCUUCCUCUCCCUCUCACUAGCAAGUCCGUUCCUCACUGGCAUUAGAGCCUACCUCUUUGUGCUUCUGGCACAUUCUGAAGGCCAGCUGAGACAUCCAGCCUCAUGGACUGAACAAAAUACUGGAUUCUUGGACCUUCCAUUGGCAGACAGCCGUUGUUGGACAAAUUGGACCAUAGUAAGCUAUUCUAACAGAUGCCCUUCACACACACACACACACACACACACACACACACACACACACACACAUUCUGUAAGUUCUGUUCCUUUAGACAGCCCUGACUAGUACAGGUACUAUGCACACUGUGGUGGGGCAGGAGGUGGUAAUCAUCAAUCAUAACUAGCUACAGUAACAAUUGGCCUGGUGAGAUAUGUCCACUGCUGCAACAGCGGCACAAAUGUUCAGGGAGUAACCAACACUUUUCGAUUGGACUUAAGGCCUGCUCCACAAGACAGGACCCAUACCCAGCACCAUUACUGGAGCUAAGAGCCUGUGGCUAGAUAGGUAGGGGGAAAUCUACUACUAUUAUUUUGCUACAUUGACAAUAAACCAGCUCCUAAUAUCCUGUUGGUAUACCCGUAGACUAGUACAUAUCCCAACCUUUAUAAGAGGUAGAUGGCAGUUAACCCCAUGACCUAAAACUUGUCGAUAUGCAGAGAAUAAGAGAUGCCAUAGUCUAAGAUUUAAAUAGAAUGUCUGUAUUAUACCCCUUCCUCAAGGCUCAGGGACCUUUGCCAAAGAUGGGGUGGAGAGAUCAUAAGAUCCAGAGGUGCUGAAUGACUCCAAGGAAACAGUAGUUUUUAGACACAACAUACUUGCGCAUGUGAACUCAUAGCACUUGUAACAGCACACACAAGACCUGUGCUAGUUCAAGCCAGACAAAAGUCCCAGCAUGAAGGAGAGAGGUGGGUGUGAAGCCCCCACUCCUAGCUGAGGAGCUUCUGGGAGUGGGAAGGUCAUUAUCUUUAAGGGUAUAAAUCCCGGUCAGACCAAGGUCUAAGGCAGGACUCAUACCCAAGAGUAUCUGGGUAGCACAAAUGGGACUCCAUGGAAAAGAAAAGAGGACAUGAAUUUGGGAACAUAGAAUGAUAGAGGUGGACCCAGUUAGAGUUGAGGGAGAGAGGUGAAUAUGAUCAAAAUACAUUGUAUGAAAUUCUCAAAGAAUUAUUAAAGAUAUUAUUUAAAAAGAAUCAUAGUGUAACUCAAGAAACUGCAAGUGAAUGAAGUCAACACUAUUAACAUGGAAAGUUAAAUUUUCUCACACAGACAAAAGUGAUGUGGACAGAAAUAUCAGUCUCACAGCUUAAGAAGAUGCAUGAUGAAAAAAUAGUUCAGGAUCAACAAUUCUGAGUUUUUUCUAAUAUUGAUGUAGCAAGAUAAUAUUUGGAAGAAUAGUAGGGAAAGGAAAGUAGUCCUUUCAACAAUCUAAUCAUUAAUCAUGCAUUCUCUUCUUGUUUUUUUUUUAGAGAAAGCAAUCAAAUAGAACUUUCAAGUGCAGAAAUGUGAAUGUCUGGAAUAAUGAUUACUGAUAACAUCUGGAAUAAUGAUUACUGAUCUUGUAUGUGUGUAUAUAUAUACAUGUACAAUGUAACAGUCACAUAAAACCAACUAUUCCAAUCCUAA